rnacentral:rRNA from 1 species
AAAGGGUGAGUAACGCGUAGUUACGUGCCCCGAGCUCUGGAAUAGCCUCGGAAACUGAGGGUAAUGCCAGAUAAUAUCUCCGGAUCAAAGGUGUGAUUCCGGCUCGGGAGCGGACUGCGUNNACUAGCUUGUUGGUGGGGUAACGGCNUACCAAGGCUCCGAUGGGUAGCGGGCGUGAGAGCGUGGCCCGUCACACUGGGACUGAGACACUGCCCAGACACNUACGGGUGGCUGCAGUCGAGAAUCUUCGGCAAUGCGCGAAAGCGUGACCGAGCGAUGCCGCGUGCGGGAUGAAGGCCCUCGGGUUGUAAACCGCGAAAGUUGGGAGGAAGGGCCUGUGAAGAGCAGGUCUUGACCGAUCAUCAGUAAGGACGGGCUAAGUUCGUGCCAGCAGCCGCGGUAACACGAACCGUCCAAACGUUAUUCGGAAUCAUUGGGCUUAAAGGGUGCGUAGGCGGCGCGUUAAGUCGGGUGUGAAAUCCCUCAGCUCAACUGAGGAACUGCGCCCGAUACUGGCGUGCUUGAGGGAGACAGAGGUAAGCGGAACUGAUGGUGGAGCGGUGAAAUGCGUUGAUAUCAUCAGGAGCACCGGUGGCGAAAGCGGCUUACUGGGUCUCUUCUGACGCUGAGGCACGAAAGCCAGGGUAGCGAACGGGAUUAGAUACCCCGGUAGUCCUGGCUGUAAACGAUGAGCACUUGGUUGAGGACCCCCCCAUAGGUUCUCGGCCGUAGCGAAAGUGUUAAGUGCUCCGCCUGGGGAGUAUGGUCGCAAGGCUGAAACUCAAA